GACUGCAUUUUCUCUGGGAAGUUGGUAGGGUGAAAUAUACUUGGCCAGGUUCCUGUCUCCAUGCUGUGUCCCCUCGAAACACUUCAAGCUGAGGAUGAGCGGGGCUGGAUGACUGGUUCUAUGCUCCUUUCCCUUCCUUCUAGCGUAAGGGAAACCUCUCCUCUCCUCCUCCUCCUCCCCUCUCCUCUUCUUUCUCUCCUCUCCUCCUCCUCCUCCUCCUCCUCCUCCCCUCUCUUCCUCCUCCUCUUUUUUCCCCCUCCAGCAGCCAGGACUCUGGCAACUGGCACAUCAGCCUUCUUCUGUUGUUGCUUUUAAUGGCAAGCAUGAAGCUGUGAACAGGGCUAAUCUUCCCAUCUCUCCCAGCUACUUCAGACCCUCUCCAGAUCUCUUGGCUCCUUUUGACCCCCCCCCCCCAAUUAUGUUGGAAAUGGAUUUUUGGCCUUCAGAAGGUCUGGGCAGACUAGGGGAGAAGAGGUGGGGUACUCAGCGCAGCUGGAUCCAUUAACCCUUCGCUCACUAGCUGCUUUGCUUUUUUCCCCAAGCAUCCAGUAAAAUCCAGUUUCACCUUCAGAAUAGUGAGGGCAGAAGACUUUGGGCCUCCUUCCCAAAGGCAUAUGGAUGGCAAAGCUCCAUACAGACCAGGAUCCCAUGCUGUCUCCACCAAGUUAUUAUGAUAUUCUACAAGAACAAGACUCGGGGCUCUCUGGCUUGGACUGCCCAUUUUUGGGUAGGCCCAGAAACCUGCAAGACAUGCAAUACCAUCAGAUGAAUGAGAGCCAAGAAGUACCCUCUUUCAAGCGUCGAGGUGGCGUGGUGGACCAUCGGGACAUCAUCUUGGCUCACCAGGCCCACAAAAUCCACAGUACCCCCCAAGCUAAGCGGAAAGAAUGGGACUCACCUCUUACUCACUAGCCUUCUUGUGAGAAUUCCUCACAAAACUGAUUUCAAACUUCCUACCUAGAAAUGAUGAUCACCUAAGUAUCUGAUGACUUCUCCAUGCUAAGGAACUCCACAAGGGGUUCUGUGGAAUAUAGUCCCUGAAAAAGAACACAUCCCUUUUACAUUCAAGGAAGCUAUGGACUAAUUUCAUGACCCAGAUGCCACAGAGGAAGAUGGAGGGAAGAGUCCCUGAGGAGUUCCAAGACUCCAGGGGAGAUGCUGAUUAAGUGGGAGGCGGGAGCUAGGGAGAAAGAAAACAUGGGAGUUCUCACCCUAACUCUGACAAGAGCAGAAAAUGGAGCAGUGAAACUGCCAAAGCUUCCUAAGAACCAUAAGAUCACAGAUUGAGAGCUGGAAGGGAGCCCCCUAGUUUUUUAGAUGAGGAAACUGAGGCUGAGAGAGAUUAAGUGACUUGUGUGAUAUUAUUCAGUUAGUAAAUAUUUGAGGCAGGAUUUGAAGGCAGGUUUUCCUGACUCUAAGCCUAUUGCUUUAUUCAUUGUACCACUUAGCUGCCUCUAGGAGACUUUUGGUGGAGAAGACAGAGCUGAGAAACUCAAAUGAAGGAACAGAAAGUCUUCAAGAGCCAGCUGGUACUGUGGCCAUGGGUAUUAAAGAAUUAUUCAAAUUUGGGCCUUUUAUCCUUGGUUAAAAUGCUUGGAAAUUGGCACCAUCUCCUUAGAAGGAGUAAGAGCCCCUAGAACUCCUAGAGAGCAUUAGUGGAAAGAGAGUCUACUAUGGUAACUGAAGGGAGCCAGAGCUCUAGAGGAAUGGAGUGCCCAUAGCUGGUGUGUCAGCAAGCCAAGGCAGUGCCAUCCAGAGAGCAAGAUGGGCAAAAAUCUCUGGGGAGUCAGAUCAGUGGAGAAUGAAGCAGCAACCAGAGGAGUAGAGGAAGGGAGGAGGCAUCAUUCAAAGACCAAUAAGACACAAGCCCCCAGUGUGGAAGAACAAACCAGGGCCUCAUCCAGGACAGCAC
ensembl:lncRNA